UCCCUGGUGGUCCAGUGGUUAAGACACUGCACUUCUAAUGCAGGAGGUGCAGGUUCAAUCCCUGGUCGGGGAA